AGCGAACGCUGGCGGCAGGCCUAACACAUGCAAGUCGAACGAACCUUUCGGGGUUAGUGGCGGACGGGUGAGUAACACGUGGGAACGUGCCUUUAGGUUCGGAAUAACUCAGGGAAACUUGUGCUAAUACCGAAUGUGCCCUUCGGGGGAAAGAUUUAUCGCCUUUAGAGCGGCCCGCGUCUGAUUAGCUAGUUGGUUGAGGUAAUGGCUCACCAAGGCGACGAUCAGUAGCUGGUCUGAGAGGAUGAUCAGCCACAUUGGGAGUGAGACACGGCCCAAACUCCUACGGGAGGCAGCAGUGGGGAAUCUUGCGCAAUGGGCGAAAGCCUGACGCAGCCAUGCCGCGUGAAUGAUGAAGGUCUUAGGAUUGUAAAAUUCUUUCACCGGGGACGAUAAUGACGGUACCCGGAGAAGAAGCCCCGGCUAACUUCGUG
rnacentral:rRNA from 1 species